GGGCCCGUAGUCUAGUGGAUACGAUAUUCGCCUCCGGAGCGAAAGGUCCCCGGUUCGAUCCCGGGCGGGCUCG